rnacentral:rRNA from 1 species
UUAAAAUGUAAAUAGUUAACCUUAGGUAGUAGUAGUGAUGUUCUUGAAACUUAAAAAAUUUGGCGGUAUUUUAGUCUGUUCAGAGGAACCUGUCCUGUAAUCGAUAAUCCACGUUGGACCUUACUUAAGUUUGUGUAGUUUAUAUACCGUCGUUAUUAGAAUAUUCUAUGAGGAUAAUAAUUUUCUUUAAUUUUUAUUAAAAUUAAUACCAGAUCAAGGUGUAGCUUAUGCUUAAGUAGAGAUGGGUUACAAUAAAUUUAUUUAAACGGAUUUAGAAUUGUAAUAUUUUAAUUAAGGUGGAUUUGAUAGUAAAAUUAUAUA